AUUGAACGCUGGCGGCAGGCCUAACACAUGCAAGUCGAACGAGUGGCGGACGGGUGAGUAAUGUCUGGGAAACUGCCCGAUGGAGGGCGAUAACUACUGGAAACGGUAGCUAAUACCGCAUACCAUCGGAUGUGCCGAGAUGGUAUCAGCUUUUAGCUGAGGUAACGGCUCACCUAGGCGACGAUCCCUCGCUGGUCUGAGAGGAUGACCAGGCACACGGGAACUGAAACACGGUCCAUACUCCUAAGGGAGGCAGCAGUGGGGAAUAUUGCACAAUGGGGGCAAGCCUGAUGCGACCAUGCCGCGUGUAUGAAGAAGGCCUUCGGGUUGUAAAGUACUUUCAGCGGGGAGGCGUUAGCCGCAGAAGAAGCACCGGCUAACUCCGUGCCAGCAGCCGCGGUAAUAC
rnacentral:rRNA from 1 species